GAUGAACGCUGGCGGCGUGCCUAAUACAUGCAAGUCGAGCGAAGCGGGGACGGGUGAGUAGCACGUGGAUAACCUCCUAUAAGACUGGGAUAACUUCGGGAACCCGGAGCUACACCGGAUACUUAUAGAUGGUUCCGCGCUGCAUUAGCUAGUUGGUAAGGUAACGGCUUACCAAGGCAACGAUGCAUCGCCGAUCUGAGAGGGUGAUCAGCCACACGGGAACUGAGAAACGGUCCAGACUCCUACGGGAGGCAGCAGUAGGGAAUCGUCCGCAAUGGGCGAAAGCCUGACGGAGCAACGCCGCGUGAGUGAUGAAGGUCUUCGGAUCGUAAAGCUCUGUUAUUAGGGAAGCGGUACCUAAUCAGAAAGCAACGGCUAACUACGUGCCAGCCGCCGCGGUAAUUC
rnacentral:rRNA from 1 species